UACGUAGGGUCCAAGCGUUAUCCGGAAUCACUGGGCGUAAAGCGUGCGUAGGCGGGAGUUUAAGUGAGUUGUUAAAUCGUGUGGCUCAACCAUAUCGAUGCAAUUCAUACUGGAUUCCUAGAGGAAGGCAGAGGCAAGUGGAAUUGGUAGUGUAGCAGUGAAAUGCGUAGAUAUUACCAGGAACACCAAUGGCGAAGGCAGCUUGCUGGGCCUUUUCUGACGCUGAGGUACGAAAGCGUGGGGAGCGAACAGG
rnacentral:rRNA from 1 species